rnacentral:rRNA from 1 species
GACGAACGCUGGCGGCGUGCCUAAUACAUGCAAGUCGAGCGCUGAAGGGUGGUACUUGUACCAAUUGGAUUAGCAGCGAACGGGUGAGUAACGCGUGGGUAAUCUGCCUUUGAGCGGGGGACAACAUCGGGAAACGAAUGCUAAUACCGCAUAAUAUCUUUAAACACAAGGUUUAAGAUUGAAAGAUGCAAUUGCAGCACCCAAUGAUGAUACCGCGUCGUAUUUGCUAGUUGGUUAGGUAAAGGCCCUCCAAGGCGAAGAAACAUAAGCGACCUGAGAGGGUGGUCGGCCCACAUGGGAAUGGGACACGGGCCCAGCCCCUUACGGGAGCCGCCGUAGGGGAACCUUCGCCAUGGGCGGAAAUCUGACCGGGCAACGCCGGGGUGGUGGAUGAGGUUCUCCGGUCCUUAAACUCUGUUGAUAGGGAAGAACGAUAGUUGGAAGGGAAAACGCACCACGUGACGGUAACUACCCAGAAAGCGACGGCUAACUACGUG